ACUUGGACCUAGCAGCAUCAAUGAGCCAGCUCCUCACUGGGGAACAUGCAAACCCCCAGCUGCUGGUGUGCAGGAAAAGAAUCCAGGAGAUCACCUGAUGAAGCCCAGCAUUUUACAGAUAGGCAGUGGAGCAGGGGAAUCCAGUUGACACUGUGGCUAAAUUUCAGAAAACCUCCCAUGAGAUCUUGCAAAGGAGAUGGAGAAAAUAUGGCUGAAUGCCAGCAAGGUAGGACGGAAGCAUGACUGCUCUAACAACCAAGCUCAAAGAGCACUGCUCACCCAAUGUUUCCUUCAUGACUAGAGCAAAGUGGUGAAAGGACCCUGGUGAGAGGCCCAAAGAACAGGAGGUGUGAGCCAAGAGAAGGUCCUGCCAGGCCUAUGUUGCAGGCUAUUUGGAGGCUGAACUUGAGGUUGACGCAGAAUUAACUGUUGCAUGAGAUGUGGGGUAUGAGAGAAGGCCUGAGUACCUAGAAGGAUUGGGAUGCCAUGAACUGACAGAGGUUGUGUAAUAGUGUGAUAUAAUAAGAAAUACAUGGUGGGCAUGGUGGCUCAAGCCUGUAAUCCCAGCACCUUGGCCACCACUGCAGGACCAUUGCUUGAGUUCAGGAGUUUGAGACCAACCUGGACAAUAUAGUGAGACCUCACCUCAAAAAAAAAAAAAGAAGAAGAAGAGGAAAUACAUAUUUGAUCUCUGCCCCUGGUUCUUGAGACAGAGCUC
rnacentral:lncRNA from 1 species